ensembl:lncRNA
GUCAGACCAGGUGCCUCUUCUAUUGGGGACAGACAAGGCAGCCCAGGGGGAGGAAAAGAUCCCAAAGGUAGGCACCGUAGUCAGAGACAGCCCCUUCUUCUGCCGUUAGGAGUCCCACACGAAGACCAAGCUACACAACUGCUCCACAGGUGAAGAAGUUCCAGCUCAGUUCCAGCCCACGCAUGCUUUCCGUUGGCGGGUCAGUCUCUGCGAGCCCCUAUUGGCCCGGGAUUUCGGUGAGCUGGGCUCACAGUGUGGAGGACACUUCUCCUGCACAUGGGGAACAGGUUCAAGGUCUUAUUUCAGACACUGUGCUGGCCCGCGUCUACUUUCCUCCAGCCCUCAUUCAGUUCUUAAGACGUACGCGUGAGGUAA